rnacentral:rRNA from 1 species
UACAGAGGUCUCAAGCGUUGUUCGGAUUCAUUGGGCGUAAAGGACGCGUAGGCGGCGGGGUAAGUCGGGUGUGAAAUCUCAGGGCUCAACCCUGAAACUGCACUCGAUACUGCUCUGCUUGAGGACUGGAGAGGAGACUGGAAUUCACGGUGUAGCAGUGAAAUGCGUAGAGAUCGUGAGGAAGACCAGUGGCGAAGGCGGGUCGUCUGGACAGUUCCUGACACUGAGGCACGAAGGCCAGGGGAGCAAACCGGGG